GACGAACGCGGCGGCGUGCCUAAUACAUGCAAGUAGAACGCUGAAGGAGGAGCUUGCUUCUCCGGAUGAGUUGCGAACGGGUGAGUAACGCGUAGGUAACCUGCCUGGUAGCGGGGGAUAACUAUUGGAAACGAUAGCUAAUACCGCAUAAGAGAAGAUGUUGCAUGACAUUUGCUUAAAAGGUGCAAUUGCAUCACUACCAGAUGGACCUGCGUUGUAUUAGCUAGUUGGUGGGGUAACGGCUCACCAAGGCGACGAUACAUAGCCGACCUGAGAGGGUGAUCGGCCACACUGGGACUGAGACACGGCCCAGACUCCUACGGGAGGCAGCAGUAGGGAAUCUUCGGCAAUGGACGGAAGUCUGACCGAGCAAACGCCCGCGUGAGUGAAAGAAAGGGUUUUUCGGGAUCGUAAAAAGCUUCUGUUGUAAAGAAGAAAGAAACGAAGUGUG
rnacentral:rRNA from 1 species